GUUUAAUCUCAGAUAAGCACACUACAGAACAAAGAUAUGAGAUAAACACAUGGAAUACAACAUAAAUAAGGCAACAAGGUAAGCUUUUCCCCUAAUUUAUCCACUCUUCAUUUAAUUCAAAAUUAUCACCUACAGAAUUCAAAAGGGAAGAGAAUAUAAUAGGAAAAUACUAGCAUAAAACUAAUUAAAUAAUAAAAAGAAGCAUAAUCAAU
rnacentral:misc_RNA from 1 species